AUGAACGCUGGCGGCGUGCCUAAUACAUGCAAGUCGAGCGAACGGACGAGAAGCUUGCUUCUCUGAUGUUAGCGGCGGACGGGUGAGUAACACGUGGAUAACCUACCUAUAAGACUGGGAUAACUUCGGGAAACCGGAGCUAAUACCGGAUGAUAUUUUGAACCGCAUGGUUCAAAAGUGAAAGACGGUCUUGCUGUCACUUAUAGAUGGAUCCGCGCUGCAUUAGCUAGUUGGUAAGGUAACGGCUUACCAAGGCAACGAUGCAUAGCCGACCUGAGAGGGUGAUCGGCCACACUGGAACUGAGACACGGUCCAGACUCCUACGGGAGGCAGCAGUAGGGAAUCUUCCGCAAUGUGCGAAAGCCUGACGGAGCAACGCCGCGUGAGUGAUGAAGGUCUUCGGAUCGUAAAACUCUGUUAUUAGGGAAGAACAUAUGUGUAAGUAACUGUGCACAUCUUGACGGUACCUAAUCAGAAAGCCACGGCUAACUACGUG
rnacentral:rRNA from 1 species